UUCAGAUUGUAUUAUUUGUAAUCUGUGUCAUUCAUGAUGUAAUUUAUAUAUGCAACCCUACUAGAAGGAAGGGACUACCUGUCCACAUUGUGAAUGUUCGAGAUUGGAUGUUCUCAGUGCUAGUAUUUCCCAUUGGCACCUUUGUAGUUUUUACCUUCUGGAUCCUCUAUGCCUUUGACAGAAAAUUUAUAUUUAACCGAGAAUUAGAUGGAACCUCUCCAAGUUGGAUCAAUCAUUUCAUACAUACAACUAUAUUGCCAUUACUUCUCAUAGAGUUGAUCAUAUGUCCCCAUAAGUAUCCGAGUAGAAAGAAAGGAGUUCUGGGACUUAGCAUCUUUGCAUCUAUAUACAUUAUAUGGUAAGAAUUAUUUUGUUUUCAAAAAUAAUCUGGAUUGAUACAAUA